rnacentral:rRNA from 1 species
UACCAGCACCCCGAGUGGUCGGGACGAUUAUUGGGCCGUAAAGCAUCCGUAGCCGGUUCUGCAAGUCCCCCGUUAAAUCCACCUGCUUAACAGAUGGGCUGCGGAAGAUACUAUAGGGCUAGGAGGCGGGAGAGGCAAGCGGUACUCAGUGGGUAGGGGUAAAAUCCUCUGAUCCAUUGAAGACCACCAGUGGCGAAGGCGGCUUGCCAGAACGCGCUCGACGGUGAGGGAUGAAAGCUGGGGGAGCAAACCGGG